AGGGUUUAACAAGGGGAAGCUAUACAAUAUUGGAUAUACUGAGGCAGCAAAACGAGACCAUACAUGUUUUGUUUUUCAUGACGUCGAUCUUAUUCCAGAAAAUGAUAACAUUUUAUAUGGAUGCGUCAGAAGUCAAAUGCACCUUUCUAGAGCAAUAGAUAAAUUUAACUAUAGACUUACAGAUAAAAACUAAUAGGAGGUGUUUCUGCUUGGAGAAGAAGGGAAUUCGAAAUGGUGAAUGGCUGGUCAAAUACGUUUCUGAAUUGGGGUGGAGAAGAUGACGAUAUGAGCUACAGGUUUAUUGCAAACGGACUGAAUAUCUAUCGUUUUCGAAAUUCCAUUGCUAGAUACAAAAUGCUUAAACACCCUCAAUCUGUGAUAAACACUGCUAGAUUUACCCUACUUGAGAACAGUUUUGUCCGCCAUAAAAUAGAUGGGUUGUCCUCCCUGAGCUAUGCUGGUGUAAACGUAACAGAAUUUAAACUAUUUACCAAGAUUAUUGUUAUUCUGUGAA